rnacentral:rRNA from 1 species
GACAUAGGUGGCAAACGUUAUCCGGAAUUAUUGGGCGUAAAGAGCGCGCAGGCGGUCGUUUAAGUCGAGUGUGAAAGCCCCCGGCUCAACUGGGGAGGGUCACUCGAUACUGAUCGACUUGAAGGCAGGAGAGGGAAGCGGAAUUCCCGGUGUAGUGGUGAAAUGCGUAGAUAUCAGGAGGAACACCAGUGGCGAAGGCGGUGGUCUGGGCCGGAACUGACGCUGAGGAGCGAAAGCGUGGGUAGCAAACAGG